GUGCCAGCAGCCGCGGUAACACGUAUGGGGCGAGCGUUGUUCGGAAUUAUUGGGCGUAAAGGGUAUGCAGGCGGUUUCGUAAGUCUGGUGUAUAAUCCCUCAGCUUAACUGAGGAUCUGCGCUGGAAACUGUGAGACUAGAGUACAGGAAGGGGAGUUGGAAUUCCAGGUGUAGGGGUGAAAUCUGUAGAUAUCUGGAAGAACAUCAGUGGCGAAGGCGAACUCCUGGCCAUGUACUGACGCUGAGAUACGAAAGCGUGGGGAGCAAACAGGAUUAGAUACCCUCGUAGUCC
rnacentral:rRNA from 1 species